rnacentral:lncRNA from 1 species
CGGCUGCUUGCACCUAUCUAAUUGGAUGGUUUCGCAAAUGGUGCUGCAACUGUUUGCAUCUGAUAACUGUUGACAUAAAAGAAUAUUAAAUAGGGUUGGGGGGUUUCCUUUUUCUUUGAGAGCAAGAGCUGGGGGCAAGAAAAAGCUAGCACCAUGGGUUUCGUGAUAAUAUAAUUCUCCCCUUAGAGAGAGAGAGAGAGAAGGAAAGCAUCAAACAUCAAAGUCUCUCUCUCCGUAGACUGAGAGAGAGGAGAGAGGGCAGGGCACGCAAUACCUUGGAUUUUUUUUCUUCAUAUCCAUUCAACAGCAAUCAUCAUGCCCUCCUCCUCCUCCUCCUCCCCACCUCUGACUCUUCAAUACCAUCAUCAUUACCCCCUCACCACCACUACUCAUGAUCAUCCCCUCCCCCUUUUCAAUAUCCACCAACUUCACAUCCCAAGACCAAAAGCAAACCAACAGCAACAAGACGACCAAGAAGAAGAAGAAGGUCAAGAAGAAGAAGAAGAAGAAGAAGAAGAAGAAGAAGAAGAAGAAACGAGCAGCAGGAUUAAUUUCUUACAAGCCGAUCAUGACAAACUCUUUUACUAGUAUAUUUUAUGAGUGAAAGGGUCUCUUUUUCCAAAGGAUCCAACAACUCUACGGGGAAUCAAGCUUCUCGGUCCGAUCAUUUGCUAGAUCAAAGCAAAUCACACAAGUUUUGUCUACAAUGGGGUUUCUUCCUUUUUCAUCACUUCGGUCCAUCACUCAGUAAAACUGGUACAAUAGCUAUAUAGGUAGCUUUCCUUUUGCACAUGGACUCUCUACCUUUUAUAUUCUAGGUAUGGUUUCGAGACCAUUUAUGAAAGAAGAAGAAGAAGAAGAUGCUGAUUGUAUGUGCUUAAAUUUUUUUUUCUUUUUGUGUUCGUUAUUUUCUUUCUAGAUCUCUAAAUUUUCCCAAACAUGUUUCCGUGGUCUUCUCUUGAUUUUUGUUUGUUUGGUGCAAUGAUAUUUAUGAUGGAAGGAACUUGUUGUUUGAUAUACAAUAUAAUUAUUCUUCAUGACAGAUAUAUGCAAUAAGUAUUCCUCCUGCCAUAUUUGUUCUUGGAAACCUGACCAAAACCGUAUAACUUUGCCAGAGUUCCCGUCUUAGACGACUGAGAAACUCCAUAGUCCUUGUCACCAUCCUCCCUGCAAUCCUAGGUACAACAAUAUUCCUCAAUGCUCAAACUAGGGUUUGCUAACUAUCUAUGUAUAUUCAUACCUUCAUAUGUGUAUAUACACAUAAAUAUAUAUCAUAGGGGAUAUAAAUUUGCGUAUUAACCGAAAGCUAAAGAGAUAAAGCUGUCAAGUAUUCCUAAUUUUCACUUCCCUUCAAUUAAAUGAUCGUAUUCAAGUUCAAUUCCUUUUUCACCAGAUUAAACAUGUGAUGGUCAAGCAAAAUGAGAUCCAUGGUGAAGCCAUUAUCGGAUGCAUCAUGCACAUAUGAAAGAUGCCUUAGCCUUAGUCUAAGCCUAGGCGUGUUGUUGAGAUAUGGUUGUGAUCUUCCAUGAGAUAUGUUGGUGUAAAGAAAUCGUACAUGAGAAUUUAUGAUUAAGAGAGAAGCGAUCAGAGAACUUUAAUGUUUUACAUUUCUAUGGAAUUGGCAGACAAGGGUUAAUAAGAAGUUUGGGAGUAGAAAUAUAUAUAUAUGUGUUGCCUGCAUAUUUUCAAUAGG